AGUAACACGUGGGUAACCUGCCCAUCAGAAGGGGAUAACACUUGGAAACAGGUGCUAAUACCGUAUAACAAUCGAAACCGCAUGGUUUCGGUUUGAAAGGCGCUUUUGCGUCACUGAUGGAUGGACCCGCGGUGCAUUAGCUAGUUGGUGAGGUAACGGCUCACCAAGGCAACGAUGCAUAGCCGACCUGAGAGGGUGAUCGGCCACAUUGGGACUGAGACACGGCCCAAACUCCUACGGGAGGCAGCAUG
rnacentral:rRNA from 1 species